rnacentral:rRNA from 1 species
CGCGUAGGCGGAUGUUACAGUCAGGCGUGAAAUUCCUGGGCUCAACCUGGGGGCUGCGUUUGAUACGUGAUGUCUGGAGUUCGGAAGAGGGUCGUGGAAUUCCCAGUGUAGAGGUGAAAUUCGUAGAUAUUGGGAAGAGCACCGGUGGCGAAGGCGGCGACCUGGUCCGAUACUGACGCUGAGGCGCGAAAGCGUGGGGAGCAAACAGGAUUAGAUACCCUGGUAGUCCACGCUGUAAACGAUGUGCGCUGGAUGUUGGGUGACAUAGUCAUUCAGUGUCGUAGCUAACGCGAUAAGCGCACCGCCUGGGGAGUACGGCCGCAAGGUUGAA